UCCCAGCCCCGCCGCGCCCCGUCCCGCCCCGCCCAGACCCUCACGCCCUUCCUGCUCACUCUCGGGGCCUGCACAGUGGGGCUGGUGGUCGUCGGGGCGGGCUGGGGGCGGUGGGCGGGGUGGUAUGCAUGGAUGUGUUCGUAUGUGUGUGAAUUGGGGUUGCUUGGGGUUGACGGGGCGUUUCCGGGGCAGGGUAGGACGUUAGGCGGGGGUGGCGGGGCGGACCGGGGCAGGAGGGCGAGCCGGGGGAGUCGGGCGCGGGUGACGAACAACAACAACAACAAUAAUAAGGGCGGAAAGAAAGGCGCAGCGAGUAGAUGAUUCCGUUUCCGCUGUUUAUUUUUUCGUUUAUUUUUUUUUUCGCGUCUUCGGUCGGGUCCGCUUCGGCGCGUCAAUUCUUCCCCCCUUGCUCAAGUGCGUCGUCGUCGUCCUCGUCGUCGCGCGUAACGUAAUGGCGUCGACUCGUAGCGGAAAGUUGUUGAGUCUGUAGUUUUUUAUUUAUUUUUUUUUAUUUAGGGGGUGGCUGAAGCGUCCUGAGGCUAGGUUAGGAGGAGGAGGAGGAAGGAAGGAAGAGGAGGAGGAGGAUGAGGUGAUAUGUGUGUUUAUAUGUUUGUUACUUGUUAGAUUAGGAGGAGGAGGAGGAGGAAAACGUGGUGAUAUAUAUAUAUUUGUGUGUGUGUGUGUGUGCGUUUGUGUGUGUGUUUUUACCUGCGUUUAUAGUUUAUAAUGACAAGUCUUCUGAGGAGGAGGAGGAAGGGAAGAAGAUGAGGAGGAGGAAGGAGGAGGAGGAAAGGAAGAAGAAGAAAGAGGAAGGAGGAGGUUGUGGUGGUGAUAUGAAUGUGUGUGUGUUUGUACGUUAGUGUGUGUGUGUGUGUGUGUGUGUGUGUUCCCUGCAUUUUAUUAUUAUUAUUAUUAUUAUUUUAUUUAUUUAUUUAUUUAUAUAUAUUUUCGCUCCUUGGUCCAGUGGUUAUCAUCCCUGACCACAAAUCCUCUGGGCCAUGGUUCGAAUCCCGGCCCAGACAGUCAACCCCCCCACCCCCCACCCACCCACCCAGCGGUUCCUCCUCCCCUGUGGCUGGUGGUUAAACAUAUCCCUUGGGACCCCUUGGGAAGCACACUGUGGGAACCCGGGUGUCACACUGGCCCCGGGGUGAUGGGAUCAGGCCCCCACAGGCUCAAGGGGGGGCAGUGUGACGGAGAUGAGCGCUGGGGCCGUGUGUAGCUGUAGCCUGUGUCCCAAAUUUCACUUUUUGCAUUACUUUCCAUCGUACUUUUAUGAGGUUCUGAAAAGUUGAUCGAAGUGUCUAAAAAUAUCUGUUAGUGGGAGGGUUAAGAGGAGGAGGAGGAGGAGGAGGAGGAGGAGGAGGAGGAGGUUAAGAAGAACAAAGAGGAGGAGGAGAAGGAGGAGAUGAACUAGGAGGAGGAGGAGGAAGAACAAAGAAGAGGAGGAGGAGGAAGAGGAAAAGGUGCAUAUUUAGAACAAAGAAGAGGAAGGAGGAGGAGGAAGAGGAGGAGAUAGUGGUGUAGAGAAGCAAAGAGGAGGAGGAGGAGGAGGAGGAGGAAGAAAGAGAGGGAGGAAGAAGGAAGAAACAUUAGAAAAAUUACAAAAAGGCAGAGAGAGAGAGAGAGAGAGAGAGAGAGAGAGAGAGAGAGAGAGAGAGAGAGAGAGAGAGAGAGAGAGAGAGAGAGAAGGAAGGAAGGAAGGAAGAAAUAGGAAAAGAAAAAAGAAAACAUUACAAAAACUCAUCAAUCUCAAAUUAAGCACAAAAUGAAAAAAAAUAUAAAAAUUCGAACUGUCGAGAUAAAACAAAAAAUAAACAAACAACAUUGUCACCUCCGCUAACCACACACACACACAUAGGCCUCUCAAAAUUCACCUCAUGUUAGCAUUGUCCUAUAUUUUAACGCCUCUACAGUGGGUCUAUACAAACCAGAGUUAUACAAUGGGUCUAUACAAGCCAGGGUUAUACAGUGGGUCUAUACAAGCCAGGGUUAUACAGUGGGUCUAUACAAGCCAGGGUUAUACAAUUGGUCUAUACAAGCCAGGGUUAGAAUUAGGUUGAGGAAGAAGAGGAAGAGGAGGAGGAAGAGAUGGUUCAUGGUGUGGAGGUAACAGGAGGAGGAGGAGGAGGAGAGAAGAAGGAAGAAUACUGGAGAAGUCAAGAUAAGGGAGAGAGGAGGAAGGAAGUAGAAAAGAAAUUAUACGUAAAGAAAGGGAGGAAGGAAGGGAGAUCGCUGGAGAGUUAGUAUAAGGAAGAGGAAAGGGAGGGAGACGAAAAUAAAUACUGGAUUUAAGGAAGAAGGGUAAGGAAAAAAGGAAAGAAAUCAGGAAAUUGGGAAGGACUAGGUCACAAUUUGGGUGGUGGAUAAGUGGGUCAAAUCAGGCUGUCAUGUCCUUAACCCGUCCGCUGCGAUUGGCACGGAUUUGGCCGUCACUGGUAGCCUGGUAACAUACACUCCCAUGUCUUUCUCUGCCUCUGUGGUGGAUAGUGGAGUGUUUCCCAUGUGGUAUUGGUAUGCUGGAUUUGGCCUUCACUGGUAGCCUGGUAACAUACACUCCCAGGUCUUUCUCUGCCUCUGUGGUGGAUAGUGGAGUGUUUCCCAUGUGGUAUUGGUGUGCUGGAUUUGGCCUUCACUGGUAGCCUGGUAACACACACUCCCAGGUCUUUCUCUGCCUCUGUGGUGGGUAGUGGAGUGUUUCUCAUGUGGUAUUGGUAUGCUGGAUUUUGCCUUCACUGGUAGCCUGGUAACACACACUCCCAUGUCUUUCUCUGCCUCUGUGGUGGAUAGUGGAGCGUUUCCCAUGUGGUAUUGGUAUUCUGGUCACUCCCCUUAAUUCAAAUGUGAUGAGGGACUGUUUCAAAUGCUGGUUAGGUAGAUUUGUGAGAUGGUGAAAACUUGGUUGAGAUUAGCUAAGAUCAGGCUGUGCUAGGCUAGGUUGGGUUGGGUUGGGGUAGGUCAGAUUGGGUCAGACUAGGUUAGGUUAGGUUAUGCUAGGUCAGGUUGUGUUUGGUUAUGAGAAAGUUAGUGAAAUUGAAUGAAAUGGAGAAAGAAAGAAAGAAGGAAAGAGAGGAAGGAAAGAAAGGGAGAAGAGAGAGAGAGAGAGAGAGAGAGAGAGAGAGAGAGAGAGAGAGAGAGAGAGAGAGAGAGAGAGAGAGAGAGAGAGAGAGAGAGAGAGAGAGAGAGAGAUAAAGACGAGAAGGAGAGAGAGACAGACCAGGGAGAGAAAGAGAGAGAGAGAGAGAGAGAGAGAGAGAGAGAGAGAGAGAGAGAGAGAGAGAAAACAAAGACCACCGCCACUGUCUCCUUCUUUGGGGUCUCGGCACUAUAAAAAAAAAAUACUCGGAGAAAAUUUACUUAAUAUUAUUAUUAUUAUUAUUAUUAUUAUUAUUAUUAUUAUUAUUAUUAUUAUUAUUAUUAUUAUUAUUAUUAUUUAGUUUAUCGGCCAAGUGCGUUCCAUCUGUGACUUUUAAUUCAUUUAGAUAUAUACGUUUGUUCGUGCGUUUGUGUGUGUAUAUAUUGAUAUCCGACAUGCCCCCCCCCGAACCCCCCUGACCCCCCUGCCCCACACCCCAUAGCCCCCUCCACAACCCCAAUGAAAGCUUCCAGGAAUGUGUGUGUAUGUGUGUGUGUGCGUGUGUGUGUGUGUGUGAGCGCACAUGCAUUCUAGCACUUUCAUGUGUGUAUAUAUGUAUGUAUGUAUAUAUAUUGUGUGUGUGCGUAUGUUUGUGUGUAUGUACGUAAUUUUAAGUGUAUAUUGUGUAUGCUUCCUCCCCUUGAAAUGUGAUAGAACUGUUUGUUUUUGCCAAAUACACACACACACACACACACACACACACACACACACACACACACACACACACACACACACACCUAUCCAAACUCACCCAUCAUCAUCAUCAUCAUCAUUAUACAGUGUCGCCAAUAUCAGUUCCUUCCCUACACACACACACACAUGCACACACACACACACAUACACACGCACACGGUCGCCAGGUGUUGAUCAAGGCGGCAGAUACCCUAGUCAGUCAGUCCCUCAAUAAUGUGAUGAUAACUUGGUGAAAAUUAAUUAUCGGUACAUUCGGAGGCGUUGUCGUAAUGGCCGGCUAUCGUGAGGACGACGUACGUAACAGACAGACAGACACACACACACAGACACAGACACAGACAGACAGGCAUGGAUAGACAGACAAAGUUACCAUUCAGCAAUAGACAGACAGAGACAGACACACACACAGACACACAGACACAGACAGACAGGUAUGGAUAGACAGACAAAGUUACCAUUCAGCAAUAGACAGACACACAGACACACACACAGACACACAGACAAAGUUACCAUUCAGCAAUAGACAGACAGAGACACAGACACACACACAGACACACAGACACAGACAGACAGGCAUGGAUAGACAGACAAGCUUACCAUUCAGCAAUAGACAGACAGACAGACAGACACAGUGACCAGGAGAUAGACAGACAGACAGCCAUGGAUAGACAGACAUACCAUUCAGCAAUAGACAGACAGAGACACAGUGACAAAGAGAUAGACAGACAGACAGAAGUUAUACUCAGAGGCACAUACAGACAGACAGACAGACAUAAACAGACAUAAACAGACAAAAUAACAUACUACCCAGCGACAGACAGAGACACAGACAGACAGACAGACAGAGAAACAGACAGACAAAAUAACACGCUACCCAGCAACAGACAGACAGACAGACAGACAAACAGACAAAAUAACAAACUACCCAGCGACAGACAGACAGACAGACACAUUCGUACAGACACCGUAACCUCAACAGUAUCGUACGUAACAGCUAUACUCUAAUGUUUUGGAUAAUGAUAAAAAUAAUAAUGUUAAUAAAAUGUUUUCGGAAAAUCG